AUCGCCCGGCUAGCUCAAUCGGUAGAGCGUGAGACUCUUAGCUUUCACGUCCUAACAAGACACGAUUGGUUAUCUCAAGGUUGUGGGUUCGGUUAGUUAGCUCCAAAACAUCCAACGUUCGAUU